GAAUUUUCCUGAGUUUCUGUUUGCUUACCAUUUUCUGUAGUGUUUCUGAGGCACUGCCCUGGGCUGGGAUCAAGACGCUGAAGUGACAAUCAUGGGGAGACAGGAUCGACUGCCAACAAAAGAAGGACCACAAACACAGCUGAUGAGUGAAGCUCAAGGUGAGGCCUCGCCUGGUUGCUGAAGGAAUAGUGGCAGCUGCCUCGCUGUGUCCUUCGUCGCACUCUGGUACCAUACUACCCCACUGCACAGAUGCUUAAUUACAGUGGAACACUUCAACACCAUUAAAUUAAAACAAGUUACCAGCUCGUUUUUGAUUGUGGCCUGGCUCACUUCCAAAUGACGUUUAGGGCACUAUUAGAUAUUUAAUUAACACCACACAUUUUGCUAACUUCAGAGCAAAAUGGGAAAAUGCCUUCCAUGAAUCUGUUUGUAAACUGGGAAGUCUUCCUCUAGGGAGAGUUUGGGCAGUAUUCUCAUCUGCUAAUGAGUUUUUAGUGUCUUGAAGAGACUAGAGUCCCUUUUCUUGGGGUAUAUAGUGAUUUUCCAAUGUGGUUUUCAGAAGAACUGCUUAUAUUACAUUUUGUGAAAACUAAUGAAAUUAUAUUUUUCUUGUAAUCAUGGCCUUAUUUACACGGCCAUGUGACGGAGUCU